UUCCGGUUGAUCCUGCCGGACCCUACUGCUAUCGGGGUGGGACUAAGACAUGCGAGUUGAGCGUCUCUAAGCCAUGGUAGAGACGCGGCGUACGGCUCAGUAACACGUGGCUAACCUACCCUUAGGACGGGGACAACCCCGGGAAACUGGGGCUAAUACCCGAUAGGCGAGGAGGCCUGGAAUGGUUCUUAGUCGAAAAGGCGUUGAAACCAUGCUUUUCGACGUUGCCUAAGGAUGGGGCCGCGCCCGAUCAGGUUGUUGGUGGGGUAACGGCUCACCAAGCCUAUAACCGGUACGGGCCGUGAGAGCGGGAGCCCGGAGAUGGGCACUGAGACAAGGGCCCAGGCCCUACGGGGCGCAGCAGUCGCGAAAACUCCGCAAUGCGCGAAAGCGUGACGGGGCUACCCCGAGUGCCGUCCGCUGAGGAUGGCUUUUCCCCGGUGUAAUGAGCCGGGGGAAUAAGGAGAGGGCAAGUCUGGUGUCAGCCGCCGCGGUAAUACCAGCUCUCCGAGUGGUAGGGAUGAUUAUUGGGCUUAAAGCGUCCGUAGCCGGCUUAGCAAGUCUCCUGUUAAAUUCAGCGACCUAAUCGUUGAGCCGCGGGAGAUACUACUAGGCUAGGAGGCGGGAGAGGCCGACGGUAUUCUCGGGGUAGGGGUGAAAUCCUAUAAUCCCGGGAGGACCACCAGUGGCGAAGGCUGUCGGCUAGAACGCGCUCGACGGUGAGGGACGAAAGCUGGGGGAGCGAACCGGAUUAGAUACCCGGGUAGUCCCAGCUGUAAACGAUGCGGGCUAGGUGUUGGGGUGGCUACGAGCCACUUCAGUGCCGCAGGGAAGCCAUUAAGCCCGCCGCCUGGGGAGUACGGCCGCAAGGCUGAAACUUAAAGGAAUUGGCGGGGGAGCACCACAAGGCGUGAAGCUUGCGGUUCAAUUGGAUUCAACGCCGGG
rnacentral:rRNA from 1 species